AUUAACGCUGGCGGCGUGCAUAACACAUGCAAGUCGCACGAUGAAACUUAAAUGAUUUCUUCGGAAUGAACUUAAGUGGAUUAGUGGCGGACGGGUGAGUAACGCGUGAGUAACCUGCCUUACACAAGGGGAUAGCCGUUGGAAACGACGAAUAAUACCCUAUGAAACUAUCACUUCGCAUGAAGCGAUAGUCAAAGUGUUAGCGGUGUAAGAUGGACUUGCGUCUGAUUAGCUAGUUGGUGAGAAAAAAGCCCACCAAGGCAACGAUCAGUAGCCGGCUUGAGAGAGUGUACGGCCACAUUGGGACUGAGACACGGCCCAGACUCCUACGGGAGGCAGCAGUGGGGAAUUUUGCACAAUGGGGGAAACCCUGAUGCAGCGACGCCGCGUGAUUUAGAAGGCCUUCGGGUUGUAAAAAUCUUUUGUAUAGGAAGAAAAUGACAGUACUAUACGAAUAAGGUCCGGCUAAUUACGUG
rnacentral:rRNA from 1 species